rnacentral:rRNA from 1 species
AUUGAACGCUGGCGGCAUGCUUUACACAUGCAAGUCGAACGGUAACAGGCCUUCGGGUGCUGACGAGUGGCGAACGGGUGAGUAAUGCACCGGAACGUGCCCAGAGGUGGGGGAUAACGCAGCGAAAGCUGUGCUAAUACCGCAUGUGAUCUGAGGAUGAAAGCGGGGGACCGAGCAGCAAUGUUUGGCCUCGCGCCUCUGGAGCGGCCGAUGUCAGAUUAGGUAGUUGGUGGGGUAAAGGCCUACCAAGCCGACGAUCUGUAGCUGGUCUGAGAGGACGACCAGCCACACUGGGACUGAGACACGGCCCAGACUCCUACGGGAGGCAGCAGUGGGGAAUUUUGGGCAAUGGGCGCGAGCCUGAUCCAGCAAUGCCGCGUGCGGGAAGAAGGCCUUCGGGUUGGAAACCGCUUUUGUACGGAACGAAAAGGCUCUGGCUAAUACCUGGGGCUGAUGACGGUACCGUAAGAAUAAGCACCGGCUAACUACGUG